rnacentral:rRNA from 1 species
CGUGUAGGCGGUUCAUUAAGUCAGCUGUGAAAGCCCUCGGCUCAACCGAGGAAGUGCAUCUGAUACUGGUGAACUAGAGUCCCGAAGAGGGUGGCGGAAUGCCCAGUGUAGAGGUGAAAUUCGUAGAUAUUGGGUAGAACACCGGUGGCGAAGGCGGCCACCUGGGAGGGUACUGACGCUGAGACGCGAAAGCGUGGGGAGCAAACA